rnacentral:rRNA from 1 species
CUCCAGACUCCUACGGGAGGCAGCAGUGGGGGAUAUUGCACAAUGGGGGGAACCCUGAUGCAGCGACGCCGCGUGGGUGAAGGAGUGCUUCGGCAUGUAAAGCCCUAUCGGCAGGGAAGAAGCAAGACGGUACCUGACUAAGAAGCCCCGGCUAACUACGUGCCAGCAGCCGCGGUAAUACGUAGGGGGCGAGCGUUAUCCGGAUUCACUGGGUGUAAAGGGUGCGUAGACGGGUAAAUAAGUUAGUUGUGAAAUCCCUCGGCUCAACUGAGGAACUGCAACUAAAACUGUAUAUCUUGAGUGCGGGAGAGGAAAGUGGAAUUCCUAGUGUAGCGGUGAAAUGCGUAGAUAUUAGGAGGAACACCAGUGGCGAAGGCGACUUUCUGGACCGUAACUGACGUUGAGGCACGAAAGCGUGGGGAGCAAACAGGAUUAGAUACCCCUGUA